GAUGAACGCUGGCGGCGUGCCUAAUACAUGCAAGUCGAGCGAACAGACGAGGAGCUUGCUCCUUUGACGUUAGCGGCGGACGGGUGAGUAACACGUGGAUAACCUACCUAUAAGACUGGGAUAACUUCGGGAAACCGGAGCUAAUACCGGAUAACAUGUUGAACCGCAUGGUUCAACAGUGAAAGACGGUCUUGCUGUCACUUAUAGAUGGAUCCGCGCCGCAUUAGCUAGUUGGUAAGGUAACGGCUUACCAAGGCAACGAUGCGUAGCCGACCUGAGAGGGUGAUCGGCCACACUGGAACUGAGACACGGUCCAGACUCCUACGGGACGCAGCAGUAGGGAAUCUUCCGCAAUGGGCGAAAGCCUGACGGAGCAACGCCGCGUGAGUGAAGAAGGUCUUCGGAUCGUAAAACUCUGUUAUUAGGGAAGAACAAAUGUGUAAGUAACUAUGCACGUCUUGACGGUACCUAAUCAGAAAGCCACGGCUAACUACGUG
rnacentral:rRNA from 1 species